rnacentral:rRNA from 1 species
CAAGGCAAUUAAAAUGCUUUGUAAUUGGAAUGAUAGAAAUUUAAACCCCUUUUAAAGUAUCAAUUGGAGGGCAAGUCUGGUGCCAGCAGCCGCGGUAAUUCCAGCUCCAAUAGCGUAUAUUAAAAUUGUUGCAGUUAAAAAGCUCGUAGUUGAAGUUCUGCUAAAAGUAACCGGUCUGCUUUUAAUAAAAGUGGUAUCUUGGUGUGUAUUUAGCAAUGAUGUCCUUUGAAGUGUUUUUUACUUUAUUGUAAUAAAGCAUAUUCAGGACUUUUACUUUGAGAAAAUUAGAGUGUUUCUAGCAGGCCGACGCUUUGAAUACUGCAGCAUGGAAUAAUAAGAUAGGAUUUUAGUUCUACAUUAUUGGUUUUAAGAGCUAAAUUAAUGAUUGAUAGGGACAGUUGGGGGCAUUUGUAUUUAACUGUCAGAGGUGAAAUUCUUAGAUUUGUUAAAGACAAACUACUGCGAAAGCAUUUGCCAAAGAUGUUUUCAUUAAUCAAGAAC